rnacentral:rRNA from 1 species
UACAGAGGUCUCAAGCGUUGUUCGGAUUCAUUGGGCGUAAAGGGUGCGUAGGUGGCGCCGUAAGUCAGGUGUGAAAUCUCGGGGCUCAACCCCGAAACUGCACUUGAUACUGCGGUGCUCGAGUACUGGAGAGGAGAUUGGAGUUUACGGUGUAGCAGUGAAAUGCGUAGAUAUCGUAAGGAAGACCAGUGGCGAAGGCGAAUCUCUGGACAGUUACUGACACUGAGGCACGAAGGCCAGGGGAGCAAACGGG